CUCUUCCCUCACUUCCUUUGCUCCUCACAGCUGCUUUCCCACAGCAUCCCAACUAUCAUUUUGAUGCAGAAGCUGAAUGCUCACCACAAGUCCAGCACUGUGCUGCUCUCCUUCCCACUCUUCUCAGGACCUCUCAGAACCCAGCUGUUCUAUGGUCCCCAUAGCCAAAGCUGUCAUUGAUGCUAAUCAAUGCUGUGUCCUAAUGACUCUUCUGUGAUCCCCUCUUGUUUAGGCAUGACAUCACCAAAGGAUGGUCUACAGCAUCCCCAGUGUGGAGGCGAAACGGAAGCUGGGAAACCCUCCUGGCUUUCCGCGUGCAGUGCCAGGAGCAUUGUAAAGGCAUUUGAGGAAUACCUCCAGCCUGCUGCGAAGAUGGUCAUUGUUCUCAAGACCAUUGAAGCCAUGAGAGACUCACACAUAUGUGAUAGGGAGGAACUGAUCAGCAUUGUGGAUUUGAUCACGAUGGAACGUGCCUCCUGGCUGACAGAGGUGUCAGCUGUCGUUAGCUGCAUCUAUUAACAACCUGGAGCACAUCUACACACCAGAAGCCUGGCAUAGCCUGGACUUGCUGCUUCUAAAGAUGGCAGAACUGUGGCCAGCGGAUGUGACCCUGAGACUUGUGGAUCUCUCUCCAGAAUGUGACAGUAUUGCUGUGACCAUGUGGGAAGUGCUGUUCUCCGAUCCCCUCAUCUUGGAGAACGUCCUGAGGCAGCUGAACACGAGGUUCCAGCACGUGAGUGUGCGAUGGAGAUUCAGCUCCCAGAAAGUGGAGGCCUGCAUCCAGCUCUUGGCUCUGCUGGCCUCCAGCCAUGUGACACCAAGAAUGUUUGCUGGGGUGUACAGGCUCCGGGAGCCGCUGGUGCCUCCAAGGCUGCUCUCACUGCUGCUCCAAGGCCUCAUCACACUAUCACAGUCACCUGACAUGGCAGAGAAAAUACUGAUCAUGCUGCCGGACUUGAUGAAGACCCUGCAGAGUACCUACAGAGACAAGAUGAGGGCCCUGGUCGUAUUCAGAAACGUGACAGAUCAUUUGAAGAAGAAGGCCAGCUCCAUCGUCCUGGACCUGGCCGAGAUGCUCGUUCCACUCUUUGAUGAUGAGUGCAGCCACAUACAAGAGCUCUCCAUCUGCCUCUUCAAAGAUAUAAUACAGUUGGUGGACUGGAAGGACAAGCGGAAGAUGCAGAAGAAGGUGCAGACGAGCCUGGUCCCACUCAUGUUGCACAUGAGUGACGAGAUUGAGAGCGUGGCCCAGGCCUCUAAGGAAGCCCUCUCUGCAGCUGCAAAGGUCCUCAAAUGGAAUUGGCUCAGUCACCACCUGCAGACAUCGGAGAGAUGGAGAACUAUGGAGUGCUUGCUGGAGCAGGAGCCCAGCAGGGCUGAGGAGUAUAUGCGUCAGAGCCUGCUUUACCUGCAGCACUCUCAGGUCAGCGUGAGACUGGCCGCCCUGAGGUUCAUCGGUAAGCCGCAGCCCCUGGGGUCCCUCUUUUGGCAGCCUGGCCCCAGUCCCAUCUGCUGCAGUGGCAGCGAGGAGCAGCCCUGUGGCUGUCAGAGCAUCGACUGCCCCGUGCAGGGCCUGUGCAGCCAGAGGCUCCGUGCUUCCCCCUCCAACCCCUGCC
rnacentral:lncRNA from 14 species